GUGAAUCAUCGAAUCUUUGAACGCACAUUGCGCCCUCUGGUAUUCCGGGGGGCAUGCCUGUUCGAGCGUCAUUAUCACCCCUCAAGCCAGGCUUGUUGUUGGACGUUUGGUGAGACUUUUAACUAAGUCUUGUCCGUCUCAAAGAUAAUGACGGCGUCGGCGAGGACUCCGGUACACUGAGCUUUCGGGCACGUACUCGGUAUAAGGACUCGCGGACCCGGUCUAUCGCAUGCACCUUUAACUAGGUGUAUGCAAACCCCUUCUCAAGGUUGACCUCGGAUCAGGUAGGAAUACCCGCUG
rnacentral:misc_RNA from 1 species